rnacentral:rRNA from 1 species
GACCUACGGGGGGCAGCAGUCGAGAAUCUUUCACAAUGGGGGCAACCCUGAUGGAGCGACGCCGCGUGGAGGAUAAGGUCUUCGGAUUGUAAACUCCUGUCAUGUGUGAACAAGGUUGCGGGGCUAACACCCUUGCAAAUUGAUGGUAACACAAGAGGAAGAGACGGCUAACUCUGUGCCAGCAGCCGCGGUAAUACAGAGGUCUCAAGCGUUGUUCGGAAUCACUGGGCGUAAAGGGUGCGUAGGUGGCGUGGUAAGUCAGAUGUGAAAGCCCGGGGCUCAACCUCGGAAUUGCAUCCGAUACUGCCAUGCUCGAGUACUGAAGAGGUGACUAGAAUUCUAGGUGUAGCAGUGAAAUGCGUAGAUAUCUAGAGGAAUACCAAAGGCGAAGGCAGGUCACUGGGCAGUUACUGACACUGAGGCACGAAGGCCAGGGGAGCGAACGGGAUUAGAUACCCGAGUAGUCG